CGGAGGAAAGGUGGGGGAUGACGUCAAAUCAUCAUGCCCCUUAUGACCUGGGCUACACACGUGCUACAAUGGAUGGUACAACGAGUUGCGAGACCGCGAGGUCAAGCUAAUCUCUUAAAGCCAUUCUCAGUUCGGACUGUAGGCUGCAACUCGCCUACACGAAGUCGGAAUCGCUAGUAAUCGCGGAUCAGCACGCCGCGGUGAAUACGUUCCCGGGCCUUGUACACACCGCCCGUCACACCAUGAGAGUUUGUAACACCCGAAGCCG
rnacentral:rRNA from 1 species